rnacentral:rRNA from 1 species
UACGUAGGGGGCGAGCGUUGUCCGGAAUCAUUGGGCGUAAAGCGCGUGUAGGCGGCUCGAUAAGUCCGGUGUGAAACCUUGGGGCUCAACCCCAAGCCUGCACUGGAUACUGUCGAGCUCGAGUCCGGGAGGGGAGAGCGGAAUUCCUAGUGUAGCGGUGAAAUGCGCAGAUAUCAGGAGGAACACCAAUGGCGAAGGCAGCACUCUGGGACGUGACUGACGCUGAGACGCGAAAGCGUGGGGAGCAAACAGG